CUAGGUAGAAGAUUUGAGCUGACCUUUCAUGUCACACCUCGUCAAAGAAGUGUAGCGACAAAUAUUAUCUAAAAUAUCUAAUUGAUAUAGUUAUUAUUUACUGGGCUAUGGAGCUCAUGAUUUCUCUUUUAUUUUUAGAUUCUGAUACUUAGUUGCGGACAGAGGUGUUACUUGAGAGUGAGACUAGAAGCAAGAUCUGG
rnacentral:lncRNA from 1 species